AAGAGGGGUAAAAAAGCCAAUAAC
rnacentral:miRNA from 1 species